AUACUUACCUGGCAGGGGAGAUACCGUGAUCACGAAGGUGGUUUCCCAGGGCGAGGCUCAUCCGUUGCACUCCGGAUGUGCUGACCCCUGUGAUUUCCCCAAAUGUGGGAAACUCGACUGCAUAAUUUGUGCUAGUGGGGGACUGCGUUCUCGCUCUCCCCUG
ensembl:snRNA U1 U1 spliceosomal RNA